CCUACGGGAGGCAGCAGUAGGGAAUAUUGGGCAAUGGACGCAAGUCUGACCCAGCCACGCCGCGUGCAGGAAGACGGCCCUCUGGGUUGUAAACUGCUUUUGACUGGGAAGAAAAGACUCCUUGCGAGGAGAGUUGACGGUACCAGCAGAAUAAGCCACGGCUAACCACGUGCCAGCAGCCGCGGUAAUACGUAGGUGGCGAGCGUUAUCCGGAUUUAUUGGGUUUAAAGGGUGCGUAGGCGGCUGAUUAAGUCAGCGGUGAAAGGUAGCAGCUUAACUGUUUUACAUGCCGUUGAUACUGGUUAGCUUGAGUUAACAGAAGGCAGAUAGAAUUUCUGGUGUAGCGGUGAAAUGCUUAGAUACCAGGAGGAAUACCGAUUGCGAAGGCAGUCUGCUGCAGUUACACUGACGCUGAGGCACGAAAGUGCGGGGAUCAAACAGGAUUAGAUACCCUGGUAGUCCGCACAGUAAACGAUGAUUACUAGUUGUUGGCGAGAGUCAGUGACCAAGGGAAACCGAUAAGUAAUCCAC
rnacentral:rRNA from 1 species